AUCUCUACCGAUGUAUACAACAAAACUUUAGUUCUCCUGAGUUUGUUAAUGCUGAAAACAUUUGGAGACCUGAGCUGAAGAGUA